rnacentral:rRNA from 1 species
UACGAAGGGGGCGAGCGUUGUUCGGAUUUACUGGGCGUAAAGGGCGCGUAGGCGGCCCUCCUUGUCGCGUGUGAAAGCCCCCGGGCUCCAACCUGGGAAUGGCAGCGCGAAACGGGCGGGCUUGAGUUCGGGAGAGGAGCGUGGAAUUCCCAGUGUAGAGGUGAAAUUCGUAGAUAUCGGGAGGAACACCGGUGGCGAAGGCGGGCGAUCUGGGUAGAUACUGACGCUGAGGUGCGAAAGCGUGGGGAGCAAACAGG